UACGGGGGGGGUAAGCGUUGUUCGGAAUUACUGGGCGUAAAGCGCGCGUAGGUGGCCCCAUAAGUCCGCUGUGAAAGUCAAAGGCUCAACCUUUGAAAGCCGGUGGAUACUGUGGGACUAGAGUACGGAAGAGGCGAGUGGAAUUCCUGGUGUAGCGGUGGAAUGCGCAGAUAUCAGGAGGAACACCAAUAGCGAAGGCAGCUCGCUGGGACGUUACUGACACUGAGGCGCGAAAGCGUGGGGAGCGAACAGG
rnacentral:rRNA from 1 species